GUUCCCCCCCCUACUACUAUUAUGGCCCCCACCCGCUGCCCAGGGGUGGGGGCCAGGGGGGGAGGACAGUAGGUACCCCUCCCUUUAUUACCAUUAUGGCCCCCACCCUCCGCCCAGGGGUGGGGGCCAGGGGGAGGACAGU